AGAAAAAAAAUAGUAAUUAAGUGGCGUCAUCAUCCAUCUGUCACCAGAAAGAAAGGAUCCUUGUCAAAAUCUAUAUAAUAAACACGAGUUCGUCGCAUUAUUUGUACAGUACUAUAAGUAAAGGCUGGUGGAAAAUACCGGACCAAAGCUGCCGAUGUACGUACAAAAGGAGAAGGGAUGCUGAGGAUGUUGAGGGCCAAGAAGAUGAGGACCAGGAUGUUGAGGACCAGGAAGAUGAGGACCAGGAAGAUGAGGGCCAGGGUGAUGAAGACCAGGAUGAUCAGGGCGAAAACUGGGGUCCAGAUAAAAUGUUUGCCGAGCUUGAUAUAGAUGGAGAUGGUUAUAUAAGCUUGGAUGAGCUCAGCACUGUCCUACAGGGUUACCCAGAUAUUAACGCUGCGUUUAAGGAAAUGGACGCCAAUGAUGACGGCAAGAUUGAUCGCCAGGAAUUCGAUUCUGAUCUGCAGUAGCUCUAAAAAACAUCACGUCUUCCUCCCUUUAUUGAAAUUAGAAAUGUACCUUUAUCAUUAUGUGAGACGAAAUGAUAAUGCUGUUUAUAUGUAAUUCAGAUACAUAUACAACUUUUUCCUUUUAUUUCGCGAAAUAUUAAAUUUGGAAUUAUGUGAGACAAAAUGAUAACGUUAAUUAUAUGAAAUUCAGAUAGCAA